rnacentral:rRNA from 1 species
GAUGAACGCUAGCUACAGGCUUAACACAUGCAAGUCGAAGGACCGGCGCACGCGUGAGUAACACGUAUCCAACCUUCCCUUUACUCGUGGAUAGCCUUUCGAAAGAAAAAUUAAUACCCGAUAUAAAGUAUGGGGAUUCGUUCCAUUAGGUUGUUGGUAAGGUAACGGCCAACCAAGCCUUCGAUGGCUAGGGGUUCUGAGAGGAAGGUACCACACAUUGGAACUGAGACCCGGUCCAAAAUGCUAGGGGAGGCAGGAGUGUGGUAGAUUGGUGAAUAGGCGCUAGCCUGAAAAAGCCACGUAGGGUAAAGGAUGAAUGGGUAUGAGUCGUAUGCUUCUUUUAUAUAAGAAGCUGUAUUUAAUGAAUAAGGAUCGGCUAACUACGUGCCAGCAGCCGCGGUAAUUC